GACGAACGCUGGCGGCGUGCCUAAUACAUGCAAGUAGAACGCUGAAGCGAGGAGCUUACUCUUCUUGGAUGAGUUGCGAACGGGUGAGUAACGCGUAGGUAACCCGCCUUGUAGCGGGGGAUAACUAUUGGAAACGAUAGCUAAUACCGCAUAACAAUGGAUGACACAUGUCAUUUAUUUGAAAGGGGCAAUUGCUCCACUACAAGAUGGACCUGCGUUGUAUUAGCUAGUAGGUGAGGUAAUGGCUCACCUAGGCGACGAUACAUAGCCGACCUGAGAGGGUGAUCGGCCACACUGGGACUGAGACACGGCCCAGACUCCUACGGGAGGCAGCAGUAGGGAAUCUUCGGCAAUGGGGGCAACCCUGACCGAGCAACGCCGCGUGAGUGAAGAAGGGUUUCGGAUCGUAAAGCUCGGUUGUAAGUCAAGAACGGGUGUGAGAGUGGAAAGUUCACACUGUGACGGUAGCUUACCAGAAAGGGACGGCUAACUACGUG
rnacentral:rRNA from 1 species